GCUUUAGUUACUUGCUUUGCUUUUUAGCAAUUGCUUUGAGGUAUAAACAUUUCUUCUUCAUGUAGUCUGGAGACCCGGUCUGUUAUUUGACCGGGCAAACUGUCUGAAGUCCUCCUUAAGAGGCGAUGCCUGUGUGUGUUUAAAUUUGUCCUAAGCAGGAAAAGUCCUCAUUUGAGGCAAUUGGUGGAAGGUAGGGAUAAGUAGCCUAUCCCCCACUAUUCAGUGUGUCCU
rnacentral:lncRNA from 1 species